rnacentral:rRNA from 1 species
GUGGGCCCUCGAAGUCCUGUGGCGGGAGGAUUCAGUCGGAAGGUCGAGGCGUGAUUUUGCCGAAUUCAGUACGGUUCCGCGACGCGGACCAUUUCGGCUGCACGCUCUCCGGCUAGUACGACGCAUUUGUUUCCCGCCCGAAGGACGCCGCAACCGGUUGGGAGACGGCCUGAAGGCCCGCAUCGAUAGGUGGCUGGAAGCUUGCCCUCGUUGGCUAGAGCCAGUGACUUGAGUCGGCGGGUUGAGGCUCGUAUCCCGACCGUGGUGUCGCGAAGCCCCCCACAUGGGCUUCUCCGCCUCCUCCUCUGCGGGAUGCCGGACGAGACGUGGCAGAGGUUCUCCGAACUGCGGGCGCACAGGCUGACCCUGUGGCCGGGCGGUCGAGAGUCCUCGUUGGCCGCGCGUGAUCCGUUGGAGUGCUGGCGGUUGGCGGCGAGUAGAUCGGUCACCCACCCGACCCGUCUUGAAACACGGACCAAGGAGUCUAACAUGUGUGCGAGUCAAUGGGUCUCGAAGAAGCCCAGAGGCGCAAUGAAAGCAAAGGCAGGACUUGACGCCGGCCGUGUUGGGAUCGCCUGCCUCCGGGCGGGUGCGCACCAACGACCCGUCCUAUCCGACUUGUCGGUUGGGCGGAGUCUGAGCAUACACGUUGGGACCCGAAAGAUGGUGAACUAUGCCCGGGCAGAACGAAGCCAGAGGAAACUCUGGUGGAGGUUCGCAGCGGUUCUGACGUGCAAAUCGAUCGUCAGACCCAGGUAUAGG